rnacentral:lncRNA from 12 species
AUAAACCCCUCCAGUUAACUGGGGAAAAACAUGCACAGGGAUGGUUCUGUGUUAGCAAGGCAGCAGCUGGAUGCCAGCUUUGGAAUACUCUCAUUGCAAGGCACAUGAAAACAACCAGAGCUUAAGGUUGGGAUGUGGUUGUGUACAUGACCAGGAAGAGGCCAAUCCUCACCACACCUUUUUCCCAUGUGCUGAUGUUGGCUCUUCCAAGAGAGGAUCAGCAGACUGGACCAGGAUUGCUCUCCAGGGCAUUUUGGGAUAAAUGGAGCAUUUGGCCAAUGCCAGAAUUGAGAGAUAGGUGGGAGAGGAGCACUCUGGAUAACAUUUGAAGAUGGCAAGAGUCAUUGGUCCUGGGAAAGUGAAAAACACUUGUGAAUGGAGAUGAUUUUUCAGAAGUUAAAGCCCAUAUGAAAUAAUCAGGGAGACAGAGGAAGGGCUCUGUUUGAGUGCAGUCUGCAUGAAGUGCAGUGAAGGCUGAGUAAUGUGAUCCCAGCCCUUGGUGUGUUCAGUGCUGAAGGUGGACAAGCAGGAUUUGGGCUUUACCACAGGAGACGGGAUGCGCUGAGGACAGAGAACAGAGUGAGUCAAAGCUGUGCCCUAAAUACAGUCAGGGAGCACAACCUGGAAUAGGAAGAGGUGAGAAUGAGAGCUCCCAGAGGGGAUCAGCUCAUUGACUGACAGGCAAAAAUCAAUCAGUUGGAACAGAUUUGCAUUUCUGGAGGGGUUUACAGAGUAGAGCAUGUAUGGCCUUAGAGCACCUAAAGCAGUGCAAGAACAGGCAGUUGUGAGGAGUGCUCACUGUCCAGCAUGGUCUGAGUUGGAUUCAGUAGGACUGAGCAGCUCUGUUUUUGUUUCAAAGAGUUCCUGAGAGAGAGAGUUUUCUGUGUUUUGGAAUCUAGUUUUCAUGUACAUCUCUGGAAUUUUUUCAGCUCUCUGCUUUCAAGACCACGGGCACUCAACCAGCACCCGCCUUUGGAAUGGGAGGACAGCAAACCUCAAGCUUUGGGCUGUCAAGCUUUCCUGUCAGCAGCAGCAGCAGCAGUAGUACCAGUGCCAGCAGUUUCUCCUUUAAAGCCAGUUCCAGCCUCAUCAGUUCAGCAUCACCUGGGAGCAGCCCUGCUGCUGGCAGCUCUUCUGCUGCUGCAAAUCCUCCUGCAUUUGGGACAACAUCCUCUCCUAGCGCUCCCCAAUCCGCUGGCUUUGGCAGCGCGGCCGCUCCAUCCGCAGCCUCCUUCUCCUUCAAAGCAGCUGCCACAGCUGGUGGCUUUGGCACUUGUGGCUUUUCAGGCUUUGGCAGUGCUUCUGCUGUGAACUCUGCAAGCACCACUGUGCUCCCAGCCUUUGGAGCCUUUAGUGCCCCUGUAGGCUCUUCUGCCUCGCCUUCCAGCAGUGCUUUAUUUGGACAGAGCGCCAGUGCCUCUGGACAUGCUGUCACCUCGGCCUCUGCUGCAGCCACCAGCUCAGAGAAGUUAUUCACACCCAAGAGCGAGUUGUCAGCUGAAGAGUGGCAACAGUUUGAAGCAAAGGAGUUCACAAUUGGAAAGAUUCCUCUUAAGCCACCACCACUAGAACUUUUAAAUGCUUUUGACCUUGUAAGUUUAUUCAGAAAUGUUGUUAAUUUUUAUUUCCUCUUUCAAUUCUCUUCUGCAGGAAUAAAUGCAAAUGUAUAAACUUUUGAACGUUAUUUUGGGAUGGACUUUUCACAUCUGGGAGAUGAACUGUUGAAACUAAAAUGGAACAUUUCCUUCUAUAUACUGUCCUGUGAUAUUCUGUGCAAAGACUAUAUCAAAAAUAUGGUGUCCAAAGAAAUAAUGUUUCAGUCAGGUAUUUAAAACCUAUUCUUGGAUCAGUUUAUUAUCUGCAAAUGUAUACUCCAUGGGUUGUAGGACUGGCCACAAAAGCUUUUUUUCCCAUUGCCCUAACAAUUGGUAUUGUAACUUUAUUGGUGAGACCUUACUGAUAGUUAUUAAUGAAUGUGUGCCUUUGCUGUCCAUCAAAAAUCUGUUGUUUUAUUUGCCAGUUUUACUGAAACUAGAUGAUCUGUGAGGGAUGCUUCCAUACUUUCCUCCAGUCCUUUUUACUCAUUAUCAAAGUCCUCCAGCAUCCCAGUGUUUACGUCUUUAAAUUGACCCUUCCUGUCCACAAAUGGCAUGUGGAUUCAGGUCAAAAGGAGGAGCCAUUUCAGACCCCACAACCCCUGCCUGUCCUUUUGCCUUCUCUAGUAUUUCUCUUUCCAUCCACAUUAAAGAGGGUUUCAAUAUAGCCUGCAUAUCCCACCAAUUAGGGUUGUGAGUCAGCAUGAUAGUUUCCAAAAGCUGAUGCAUUCCUUCAGGAUUCUCUCAUUAUGAACCAACAGAUCAUUUCCAAUACAAAUAUCAAAGGUAGUACAAGGAACAUGUUCAGAAAAAAAUGGCUGAUGCUCUGCCCCCACUGCUUGUCUUACCACUGGUGAGUAUGUCUCUUAGUCCACCCCACAACAGGACUAAAAUCCUCACUUCCCCUGUGCUGUUUAUUUUAAUCUGUAUCCUCUUUAUCCAUCUCCACCCUGCUGUUAUAGGGGUGUGGAAUGAAGGGAACUAACAUUCACACAUAAAACCUCAUCCCCUUUUCCAACAUCCACUGAUAGAUAAUAAUAAUCUGCAAUGACACAUUUUUCCCAUACUCCAAUUUAUAAAGUGGCCACCAGUGAUGACAAUAUCUUUUCAUUUUAUCUUUAGUCACUGG